GCGGCAGGCCUACACAUGCAAGUCGAGGGGCAGCGGAUGAAGUGCUUGCACUUCUGCCGGCGACCGGCGCACGGGUGCGUAACGCGUAUGCAACCUACCUUUAACAGGGGGAUAAUCUGGAGAAAUCCGGUCUAAUACCCCAUAAUAUCAGAGAAGGCAUCUUUUUUGGUUAAAAAUUCCGAUGGUUAAAGAUGGGCAUGCGUUGUAUUAGUUAGAUGGUGAGGUAACGGCUCACCAUGACUACGAUACAUAGGGGGACUGAGAGGUUUACCCCCCCACACUGGUACUGAGACACGGACCAGACUCCUACGGGAGGCAGCAGUGAGGAAUAUUGGUCAAUGGACGCAAGUCUGAACCAGCCAUGCCGCGUGCAGGAUGACGGCUCUAUGAGUUGUAAACUGCUUUUGUACGAGGGUAACCGCGGGUACGUGUACCCGUCUGAAAGUAUCGUACGAAUAAGGAUCGGCUAACUCCGUGCCAGCAGCCGCGGUAAUACGGAGGAUCCGAGCGUUAUCCGGAUUUAUUGGGUUUAAAGGGUGCGUAGGCGGUUCGAUAAGUUAUAGGUGAAAGCUCCGUGCUUAACACGGAAAAUGCCUGUGAUACUGUCGGGCUAGAAUCUGGUUGCUGAGGGCGGAAUGUGUGGUGUAGCGGUGAAAUGCUUAGAUAUCACACAGAACACCGAUUGCGAAGGCAGCUCUCAAAGCCAUCAUUGACGCUGAUGCACGAAAGCGUGGGUAGCGAACAGGAUUAGAUACCCUGGUAGUCCACGCCGUAAACGAUGAUAACUCGUUGCCGGCGAUUAUAGUCGGUGACUUAGCGAAAGCGUUAAGUUAUCCACCUGGGGAGUACGUUCGCAAGAAUGAAACUCAAAGGAAUUGACGGGGGCCCGCACAAGCGGAGGAACAUGUGGUUUAAUUCGAUGAUACGCGAGGAACCUUACCCGGGCUUGAAAGUUAAUGACGAAGAUGGAAACAUCUUUUCCCUUCGGGGCAUGAAACUAGGUGCUGCAUGGUUGUCGUCAGCUCGUGCCGUGAGGUGUCGGGUUAAGUCCCAUAACGAGCGCAACCCCUACUGUCAGUUGCCAGCAUGUAAUGAUGGGGACUCUGGCAGGACUGCCGGUGUAAGCCGAGAGGAAGGUGGGGAUGACGUCAAAUCAGCACGGCCCUUACGUCCGGGGCGACACACGUGUUACAAUGGUCGGUACAGAGGGUCGCUACCUGGUGACAGGAUGCUAAUCUCAAAAGCCGAUCUCAGUUCGGAUCGGAGGCUGAAACUCGCCUCCGUGAAGUUGGAUUCGCUAGUAAUCGCGCAUCAGCCAUGGCGCGGUGAAUACGUUCCCGGGCCUUGUACACACCGCCCGUCAAGCCAUGGAAGUUGGGGGUGCCUGAAGUACGUGACCGCAAGGAGCGUCCUAGGGCAAAACCCGAGA
rnacentral:rRNA from 1 species